rnacentral:rRNA from 1 species
UACAGAGGGUGCGAGCGUUAAUCGGAAUUACUGGGCGUAAAGCGUGCGUAGACGGCUAUCUAAGUCGGGUGUGAAAGCCCCGGGCUCAACCUGGGAAUUGCAUUCGAGACUGAAUAGCUAGGGUGCGGUAGAGGGAAGCGGAAUUUCCGGUGUAGCGGUGAAAUGCGUAGAUAUCUGAAGGAACAUCAGUGGCGAAAGCGGCUUCCUGGACCAGCACCGACGUUCAGGCACGAAAGCGUGGGGAGCAAACAGG